rnacentral:rRNA from 1 species
UACGGAGGGUGCGAGCGUUAAUCGGAAUUACUGCGCGUAAAGCGCACGUAGGCGGUCGGAUAAGUCGGAUGUGAAAGCCCUGGGCUUAACCUGGGAACUGCAUUCGAUACUGUCUGGUUAGAGUAUGGGAGAGGGAAGCAGAAUUUCCGGUGUAGCGGUGAAAUGCGUAGAUAUCGGAAGGAAUACCAAUGGCGAAGGCAGCUUCCUGGCCCAAUACUGGCGCUCAGGUGCGAAAGCGUGGGGAUCAAACAGG